rnacentral:rRNA from 1 species
GUUGAACGCUGGCGGCAUGCCUAACACAUGCAAGUCGAACGAAAGGACGAGACAGCUGGCUGCCUGAUGGUCGCGUCGCACGGGGGAGUAACAUGUGGGGAAACCACCUAUAAGACUGGGGUAACUUCGGGAAACCGGUGCUAAAACCCGCAGAACGUUGCAACAGCAAAGUGCGAGAGUGACAGGCGGUCUUGCUGUCACUGAUACCUGAAUCCGCGCUGCAUUAGCUAGUUGGUAGGGUAACGGCUUACCAAGGCAACGAUGCAUAGCCGACCUGAGAGGGUGAUCAGCCACACUGGAACUGAGACACGGUCCAGACUCCUACGGGAGGCAGCAGUAGGGAAUCUUGCGCAAUGGGCGAAAGCCUGACGGAGCCAUGCCGCGUGUGUGAUGAAGGUCUUCGGGUCGUAAAGCUCUGUUAGUAGGGAGGAACAGAUUUGUGUGUAUCUCUGCACUUCUUGACGUUACCUAAAGAGAAAGCCACGGCUAACUCCGUG